rnacentral:rRNA from 1 species
UUCCGGUUGAUCCUGCCGGAGGCCAUUGCUAUCGGUGUCCGAUUUAGCCAUGCGAGUUGUACGUGUAACGUAGCAAACUGCUCAGUAACACGUGGCCAAUCUGCCCUAUGGACUGGGAUAACCUCGGGAAACUGAGGCUAAUCCCGGAUAGCACAUCCAGCCUGGAACUGGCGGAUGUGUGAAACGCUCCGGCGCCAUAGGAUGAGGCUGCGGCCGAUUAGGUAGACGGUGGGGUAACGGCCCACCGUGCCGAUAAUCGGUACGGGUCAUGAGAGUGAGAGCCCGGAGACGGACUCUGAGACACGAGUCCGGGCCCUACGGGGCGCAGCAGGCGCGAAACCUUUACACUGCACGAAAGUGCGAUAGGGGGACCCCGAGUGCGAGGGCAUACAGUCCUCGCUUUUGUACACCGUAAGGAGGUGUACGAAUAAGGGCUGGGCAAGACCGGUGCCAGCCGCCGCGGUAAUACCGGCAGCUCGAGUGAUGGCCGCUGUUAUUGGGCCUAAAGCGUCCGUAGCCGGCCGCAUGAGUCCGUCGGGAAAUCCACCCGCCUAACGGGUGGGCGUCCGGCGGAAACUGUGCGGCUUGGGACCGGAAGACCCGAGGGGUACGUCCGGGGUAGGAGUGAAAUCCCGUAAUCCUGGACGGACCGCCGGUGGCGAAAGCGCCUCGGGAAGACGGAUCCGACGGUGAGGGACGAAAGCUAGGGUCUCGAACCGGAUUAGAUACCCGGGUAGUCCUAGCUGUAAACGAUGCUCGCUAGGUGUGGCGCAGGCUACGAGCCUGCGCUGUGCCGUAGGGAAGCCGUGAAGCGAGCCGCCUGGGAAGUACGUCCGCAAGGAUGAAACUUAAAGGAAUUGGCGGGGGAGCACUACAACCGGAGGAGCCUGCGGUUUAAUUGGACUCAACGCCGGU